GUGCACCAGGCGCGAAUCCUUCGCAAUGCGGGAACCGCGACGAGGGACUCCCAGUGCCUACGCUCAGCGUAGGCUGUUCCCGAGCCUAGAAAGCUCGGGGAGUAAGGGCUGGGUAAGACGGGUGCCAGCCGCCGCGGUAAUACCGCAGCCCGAGUGGUGGCCACUAUUAUUGGGCCUAAAGCGUCCGUAGCCGGCCCGGUAAAUGCCUGGGUAAAUCGUGAGGCCUAACCUCACGAAUUCCGGGUAGACUGCCGGGCUAGGGACCGGAGGAGGGAGAGGGUACUCCAGGGGUAGGGGUGAAAUCAGCAAGGUGAGUUGCUGAUGUAACUUGCCUUGCAAGUCACAAUCCUGUAAUCCCCUGGAGGACCACCGGUGGCGAAGGCGCUCUCCUAGGACGGUCGACGGUGAGGGACGAAAGCCAGGGGAGCAAACC
rnacentral:rRNA from 1 species